rnacentral:rRNA from 1 species
UACGUAGGGCGCAAGCGUUAUCCGGAAUUAUUGGGCGUAAAGAGCUCGUAGGCGGUUUGUCGCGUCUGCCGUGAAAGUCCGGGGCUCAACUCCGGAUCUGCGGUGGGUACGGGCAGACUAGAGUGAUGUAGGGGAGACUGGAAUUCCUGGUGUAGCGGUGAAAUGCGCAGAUAUCAGGAGGAACACCGAUGGCGAAGGCGGCUCUCUGGGCCGUACUGACGCUGAGACGCGAAAGCGUGGGAGCGAACAGG